rnacentral:rRNA from 1 species
UACGUAGGGUGCGAGCGUUAAUCGGAAUUACUGGGCGUAAAGCGUGCGCAGGCGGUUUUGUAAGCCAGAUGUGAAAUCCCCGGGCUCAACCUGGGAACUGCAUUUGUGACUGCACAGCUUGAGUGCGGCAGAGGGGGAUGGAAUUCCGCGUGUAGCAGUGAAAUGCGUAGAUAUGUGGAGGAACACCGAUGGCGAAGGCAAUCCCCUGGGCCUGCACUGACGCUCAUGCACGAAAGCGUGGGGAGCAAACAGG